CCUGGAACGCGGGGAUCAGGGGAUGCCGCUCUGCACGCCUCCUGCCACACGGGGAGGCCGAGGCCCCAUUCCACAGAACCCAAUCCAGUCUGGCUCCUGUCCCCAGGCCCGUGGAUGGAUGGAUGGACAAAUGCUGGAGCUCCUGAGGCUGAGGGCCAUUGCCGCUCCUUGCUAGCAUGUGCUCUUACCCCCACCAAGCCCACCAAGCCUACCAAGCCCACCAGUGCCGACAGCUCCGCCGUGGAGGCCCUGCCUGUCCUGGCCCCUUCCCGCCUCUGCCAGAGCCCCCAGCCUCCCUCUGGGCUCCUCUUCUGUGUCCAGCACCUGCUGGGGGCUGUGGAGUCUCAGCCCGUCUCUCAUCUCUUCCCUCCCAACUUCCCCUCUGGUGGCUGGCUGACCAGACACACUGGGAUUGGCCCGGCUCGUAUGGGGUCUCCAGCCCGGCCCUGACCUAGGGCUUCAGACCAGCGUGUCCAGAACCUUCUGGAUGAAUUUGCCUGGAUGACCCACAGACCCAACCACUCAACGGGUGCCAGACUCAGCUCUCCAACUUCCUGCUGGCCCUGCCCCUCUCCAGGCUCCCCUUUCAGUGAAGGGCCCCCCCAUCUGCCCAAUUACCCAGCAGAAACCUGGCUGUCACCUGAGACUUCUCCCUCUCUCUCUCACCCCCACGCUUGGUCCCGUUGACCUCAAUACCAAGGUCAAUCCAGGUGAUCCCCUGCUACCAUCGUCUGCAUCCUGAGCUCAUCCUAUUUGGCCUGGACCAUUGCAACAUCCAAGUCACUGUCUCCCUGGCUCUGGGCUCUGCCCGACAGCUGUGCUCCACAGGGAGCCAGAGUGAGCACAUUCCAAUGCAAACCUGACCUUGCCACUCACUUAGACAGUGCCCUUCACCUGCUCCCCUCGUGGCCUGGCCCUUGACCACCUCCCCAGCCUGACCCAGCCCCAACACCCCCUCCCUCAUAUUUGUCUACCUCCAAAUGUUCAGCCCUCCCCUGUCAUGCCAUACUGAUCCUCACUUUUAAUCUUACACCUUCCUGCUCUCUACUCAGCAAACCGUCUGCCCAAGCUGGGUCACCUCCUUGGUGAAGCCCUCCAGGAUCUCCUCUGAGCCCCUGCAGCCCCUGUGCUUGUCACGCUGAAUGCCAUCACCUCCCUGCUGGGUCCCCCACCAGUGGUGAACUCAGAGAGCAGGGCCUUGCCCUGUCCUUCUGGGUCUUUCCGUAAGGACUGGAAUGGAGGCAGUUCCCAAAAAGAACUUUCUGAACAAAUGAAUGAAUGAAUGAUC